GCCUUUGUCAUCAUCAUAUGCAAAUUAGCAGUGAGCAUUAAAACUCAGGACGAAGCUGGUAACGUUACGACAUCUGAACUGCAUGGAGACAACAGACUAGUGAAAACAAAUGUCAGAAGACAGGGGUAAAGGUGACAGAUGAAGGCAAUUAAGCUGUUUUUCAACGCUUCCUACAGGAGUACUGAGGAGCAGAUCUAAAGUUGUAUUCAGUGGAUAUCCAAAAUCAAAUGGUUUCAGCAUUCUUGCCCUCUAGACAGGAUAUCAUCAUAUACUGUAAGUUCAACAUUGAGACACUACAGUAUAGAUGAUGUACUAUCCAGGGGGUCAACACUCCUCCAACAGAUUCUUGAUCGCUUGCACCCACAAAUGACCAUUGUGACAGAGAGUGGCGGUGAAACCGUUACCAUUACUGAGUUUAGUAAUGGUAAGGGUUCUGUUGCCUUCUCUCAAAAUUCAUCUGGACAAAAGGCAAAACAAGUGUCAAGUGACCAAGACAACAGGAGCAACUUCAACACCUUCAGCACAAUGGAUGACAGAGAAAAUCAGAUUUAUGAGCCCAGAAUGAAUUGGACUGAUCUUUAAUGGUGAAAAUCCAUCUUUUAUUCUCAUUUUCUAUUGUUUCUACUAUUUCUAUUAUUUUUCAUACGUGUUUUAUUUGAGGCUUCUAAUGUAUUGUUUAAAUUAAUAACACUAAUAUGCCAAUCUGAAAUGUAACAUUCUGCUUGUUUCUUUUUUUCUUUGGGAAACCCUACAGAAUCCACUUUUGACAAUACCAUUUUGAAAAUGUUGUAACGGGCUGGUUAAGGAACCACAGCCAUUUGGUAAAAGGUUUGCUUGUGUUUCUGGCAAAUAAAGAUGAGAUGAAUGAGA